rnacentral:rRNA from 1 species
CGUUAGUUUCUUAAUUGGAAUCUUGUAUGAAUGGUUGGACAAAAGAAAAUCUGUCUUUAUACUGUUUAUUGAAUUUUACUUUUAAGUGAAAAGGCUUAAAUGAAUUAAAGGGACGAUAAGACCCUAUAAAGCUUAAUAUAAAAUUUUAUUUAGUCAAAUUUUACGUUAUAAAGACUUUGUAAGUAUGAGUUUAUUUUAUUGGGGCGAUAAGAGUAAAAUGAUUGUUAACUGCUUAAUAUUAAAUACACUUAUGAGUGAUUAAAUUUUUAGAUGAUCCUAAUUAAAGAUUAGAAGUUUAAGUUACUUUAGGGAUAACAGCGUUAUUUUUCUUAAGAGUACUUAUCGAAAGAAA